SUACGUGCCAGCAGCCGCGGUAAUACGUAGGGGGCAAGCGUUAUCCGGAAUAACUGGGCGUAAAGGGUGCGCAGGUGGUUUAACAAGUUAGUGGUGAAAGGCAUAGGCUCAACCAAUGUAAGCCAUUAAAACUGUUUAACUUGAGUGCAGGAGAGGAAAGUGGAAUUCCUAGUGUAGCGGUGAAAUGCGUAGAUAUUAGGAGGAAUACCAGUGGCGAAGGCGACUUUCUGGACUGCAACUGACACUGAGGCACGAAAGCGUGGGGAGCAAACAGGAUUAGAUACCCUGGUAGUCCUGGCCGUAAACGAUGGGUACUAGGUGUAGGAGGUAUCGACCCCUUCUGUGCCGGAGUUAACGCAAUAAGUACCCCGCCUGGGGAGUACGACCGCAAGGUUGAAACUCAAAGGAAUUGACGGGGGCCCGCACAAGCGGUGGAGUAUGUGGUUUAAUUCGACGCAACGCGAAGAACCUUACCAGGUCUUGACAU
rnacentral:rRNA from 1 species